UGUGUGUGUGUGUGUGUGGACUACAAUACUCAACUAGGAAUUUUUAAAAACUUUUAAAACUGUUUUUUCCUAAUCUUCAUAAAAAUGAUCUCAUUUGACUAUUGUAGCCUGGUAUGCCUUGGUCUUGUCUCCUACUUUGCAAUUCCCCCUUCAGUGUUAACUAUCCUUUGUAACUUGAUCAGAUUAUUGUCUGCUUUUGAUUUAUCUUGAGCGUUUCCUGCCAUGUUCACAGUCAUAAUCAGCUCCCUCUCUAGCCCCAAGUGACAUCCACUGAGGGCUCCAAGUUUUUUCUGUUGCGGGGAGAAAUAGGAGGGCACUGAAGAGGAGACAUGCUAGUGCUUUCAGGGAAGUUGAGAAAACCUGCUGUUUCUUAAAGUAUUGAACUUAGGGGACUUCGGCAAAUUGCAAGACCCAGCUCCAAAAAAAAGGGUUUGCUUUAGUGUGGUAUUUUUCUUUUUCUGCUUGGAAUAUAGAAAGAGUCAGUAAAUCAUCUAAUUAAAUAUGUUUUUUCUCCUGAUUUAAUUUCAUGUUGAGUGAUAGAUCAAUAUUGAAAUAGUAGGAUAGCAUCAAACUACAUGAUUAAGUGGAAAGGUUUUCCUUCUCUUUGAACACAGAGCAGAGAUAUACCAAGGCCAGAAGAAGUAGCAUGGAAGGGAGAGGAGGAGGAGGAGGAAGAAGAGGAUCAAAAGUAAUGAGAGGCUUGAAAAAAGACCAGAAGUUUGUCUGAGUCGCCAUCCAGACACUAACUAGGUCAUUUCUAGUAGGGAUGGGAUCCUCCUUGGUCUCCUGUCUGCUCCUAAGAAUUUUGCUGUCUCCGUUCUGUCCAUUUUCCCACACUCUGAAUCACAUAGCUCCUCACACAGAUGGAUAGAGUUUAUGAAUAUGACUUAUCUUAAGUUAUUUUACCUGCUCUUCCCCAUAGUAGAUGGCAGUCUUCUAGGAUUUGGAUGCUACCUGGGUAUCAAGUAACCUCCAGUUGCUCAUUUACAUGAAGAAUCCCUGUCUGUUCAGCCUUUUCCUAUGCUUUACCUAGCCUAGGCCUCAUAAAGCUGAGCUUCUGGAUGGGGAAACCAAAUUAGCCAGUUUAGUCAUUUUAUAGCAUGGAAAUUAAGAUUUUUCAGAAAUUGCUGAAGCAAAAGUUUCAUCUUGAAUACGAAAGUCACCUUUAUAGGAACAAAUACCUGGUUUUGAUUAUCUUAUUUGUCCCCCUCUCUCUGAGGAGACAGAAACUAAAACUAUGAGAAAAAGAGGUUGGGAUCAUCUUUCUGGCCACAUUCAUCUCCCCUUAUACUACCUGUUCUUCCAUAGCCAUUAUUUAAGUGUCUGUGGAAGAAGUUUCCUGCUGCCUAUGAAAAAUGUCUUGGCCAAGUUAAACAUCUGGAAAUAAAGUUGAACAGGUGAGUUUCAGAACUCAAGGAGUCAAUCACUGCAGCCACUUCACCUUGGGAUCCUAAUGACCAAUCUUUCCCUAUAUGUCGACGUCUUCCAGCUUUCCCCUUCUUCACUGGUCUCUACAAAAGCCAUCCAGAGGAUGAAAACAGCUGCAUGUCUCCUCCCUAGCUAGCUUCCCAGCUCUUUACAUUAAAUAGUAGGCACUUAACUAACCAAUGCUCACUGCCCAGUUCACUCUUGAACUGUGAAAAAGAAAGGGUGCUCAUCCAGCCAAAGAGACUCAGCUAAGUUGGACUCAACUAAGUUUUCCACCUUGCCCAUCAGAACCAGUCUCGGCUCAGGUCUUCCACCUCAGAGGAGUUUGAAGGAAAUAGCUUGGUUUGAAAACAGGACAAGGAAGUGAUGCUUUAUCACCAUUCUCUCUUCAAGAAUAUAAGAUACAUAGGGAAAUGCCUGUGAUUGCCCCAGACACAUAAGACUUCCUUCUAAAGAGAACCUGAAGAGCCCCAUUUCAAGACACCCUCCAUAUUGGAGGGUAAAGUGGAACAGCACUUAGCUGAAUCCCAUCAAAGGGACCUGAAAAAAGGCCUGAAGAAUGAAACAAGUGUUGAUGCUUUUUGAGUGUGUCUACAAAGUGGUGAGAUAGAAAGUUCCCACCCCAGACCGGCUUCUCUCACCACAGCUUUCAGCCUCAAGAAUGAACCAAUCAAGUGGAAUAAAGAAGAAUUGGGGAUGGGAGGGGAGACUAGAAUGUUUUGGGAGGCGAUGCUGUGAACAGCUGAAGCAUGAGCAGUGCCGGAGAAACAGAGAGAGAGGAUAGAGCAGAUGGGAGCCUAAAACAACAGCAGGUGAGAAGAAGGGUCCUGAGAUGGGAUGGAUGCUGAUGCUGACCAUUAAAGGGGAAUUGACACAGUCUGGCCUGGAUGAGGAAAAGGUGUGCUGGGUCUGCUCUGCCCUGCCCUGCUUCCUUAGCAGAGUCCCCUCUACCCCUCCCCCCCAGCCUGUGCCAGCAAUGAGGCCGCAAGGCUGGUAGCUUCUCAUUUGUCAUGAUGACAUUGCUUGUUGGCACAGGCUGAGCUUUGCUGGAGAAACUGCACAGUUGAAGUCUGAGCAGAUGUGGGUUGUUCUGUCUUCCUUUCCCUCCCUCUUGUCAUUCAUUUUGACUUCUUAUUUUUCUGAAGGCAAGGGGAAAAAAUAUUGCAAGGCUUUGAAGUUAUAGUACACAAUUCAGUCUGAGGGAGAUUGAGGACAGGACAGAUUCUGGGAGAAAGGACCUCUGCAGAUGACUCUUAUCACAUACCAAUGGGGCUUUGACUUAGCCCCAGCCUAAGACCAGAGGUCUGGGGUCCUUUUCAGGUGUUAGGGCUGGGAACAGUUUUAUUUUAGGGACAUUGAUUUACACGUAAGUGGAAGGAAGCUUAUUGCCUAGCACUUCAAACUUAAAAUAGCAAUAAUAAUCCGAUCUUUUAUCUUCCCUUUCUGCCAACCUCUUUUCCCCUUUUUUCUCCACACCAUAUGCACCUAUUCAUUUUCUUCAUCUGAAAUUUUGCUCAAAUUAUUAUUACUUGGUAUGUGAAAUUCAUCUAUUUCUCUUAAAAGUGUCACUCCGUGCUCUCCCGGCUCCCCCAUUAAAUGAACUGUUACUUCCCAACAAUUAUAUUGUGUCUUAUUCCUUGAAAAUUUGGGAAAGGGCGAAUUAUUUUUAGUAAAUCAUUCUACAUCAAAAAUUAAGUUUUUUUAAUAUAUCUUGUUAUCUUUAGUCAUUUCCCAAACCCUCCGCAGACUGUCAUCCAUUGUGACAAAAAUAAUCAAAAAUAUCCAAUACAAGGAUGCCAAUGACAAAGUAUAAUGUUCUGGCCCAGUAGUCCCCUCACCUCUCUCUGCUAUGAGAAGAGAGGGAAGAAUUGAGCUUCCUUUUAGUGAUUUGUUUCCAUUUGCAUUAUUUUAGUCAUUAUAUAAAUACAUUAAACUAUAGUUCUCUGAGUUCUAUGUAAAUUUCUAUAAAUAUUACUAUUUCCCCUGAAUUCCUCAUAUUCAUCAUCUUUGUAAAAUGCUAAUCCAUUCAUUUUCCCAGAUAUUCUCCAAGUAUUCAUUUUCCCAUUACUUUGCUACAACAAAAAUAUAUGGAUAUCUUGGCAUAUAUCCAAACUUUGUUCCCCUUUGACUUUUUAGGGGAAGGUAGGAGAGGAGAAACGUUUGGCUCAAAAGUGACAAAUUCAACUUCAGAAGAGUUGAAUCACUUCUAGGCUCCACUAGGAGUGGCCCACACAUCAAUGAGUGCAUCUAUCUUAUCACAACCUCUUCAACAUGAACAAAAAUUAGUUUUUUGAUGGAACAAAAGAAAUGAAAUCAAAUGCAUUUCCUUCUUCUCUGGUGACUUUCUUUUCUCUCCUUAAAAAAACCCAAAAAUUCAAUCUUCCCUCCCUCUGAAAUAGUGUGUUCCAUCUCAAUAGUAAAAGAGUAAGUCCAUCUGAGAGAGUGGGAGCAGCAGAGCAGGCAGGGAAAGCCAGCUACGCCACAGGGCAGGGACAGCCUGCUGUGCAUGGGGCAUGUUGCCUUCCCGGCCCCAUUCAUUUCUGUAGCUGCAGCAGCCGAUUCUGGAUGUUUAUCCUGAGGGCAGCUCCAGCCGGAGCUCUCUGCUCAUUAGUGGCCCUGGGAAUUGAUAAGGGAGUUCAGGGAUCUUCACAUCUCUCUAUACACACGAACUGUCCUGCCAAACCAUGUUGGCCUGGGCGCCUGCACAUGGGUCUCUUCUGACUGGCAACGGAGAGAAUGGGAUCCUUCUGGGAGAAUUCAGAAAUAUCUUUUCCCCAAAUGUAGAUCAGGUCGUGUGUACUGAUAGUUCAGUCACCUGAGAAAGCUGUAACUGAAGACCAGGAUUCUGCAGCUUGAACCACAAGGGACUCUAGAAGUCAUCUAAUCUCCUCUGCCCCCUUCAUUUUACAGUUGGAGAAGCUGAGGCUCUGAGCAAGGCAGAACCACGGUGACCAGCAGAGCUGAAUUGGGAACUUGUGUUCUCUGACCCUAAAGCCUAGUCUUUCCAUUGAACUGUUACUAGCUUGUAGGAGCACUUGAGGCCCUCCAUACCUGUGAAUGGGGAGUAAUCUUAGAAAACAUAAACCCAAAGCCUCUCACUUCAUUUUUGGGAGGCCUCUAAUCUGUUACUUAACUGUGGUGCCUUGAGCAAGUCACUUGCCCUAGUGUGGGACUUCUUGUGCUCCUAAAAGCCUUGUAGCUCUUGACAAGGUUAACUUGGGGGGAAGGGGGGAAGGGAGAGACUUGUCCUCAAAUAGCCAUAGUUUUGCAGGUCUCUAUCUCUGAAAGAUUCUGAAGUUAGCCGAUUCUUAAAGGACAUUCUUUUAGAAAACACCCUUUACCUGGGAUUUUCCAUUAUUUGGCAAUUUUUUCAUCAAAUGUCCUGCCAGGAAAACUGUUCCUGCUGGCGCUCCCCAAGCACACAAACGCCCCCUCCACACUCCAUAUUUAUGAACAAGGUUACUGUCUAAACCCUGCUCACUUCCAUACCUGUGUCUUGUGCCCCUUCCAUUCCUCUCCCCUAUGGCCACCUCGAACCCUUUUGAGCCUUUGGCUGCCCUAGCCAGAGCACCCCUGGUAUCUGCACUUCGAAAAAGGCUUCUUCCUCCUCCUCAUGACAAUUUUUUGAAAACGGAAACAUUUCCCCAGAGGGCUCCACAGCCUAGACUCACAAUCACCCACUUGUAAUUUAUGAUAAAUACCUCGUGGCAUUUAUCAUUUGCAUCAGUGAGUAUUUAUAGUGAAGGGGAGGGAAGGGCAAAGGGAGGAAGCAGCCUGCGAAGCUUCACACCUGUCCUGGGCGUCUCCUCAUCAGAAGCAGCCUGAACUUCCACCGAGGCCUCUGACAGCGGAGCAAAGCCACCUUGGAAAUCCGGUCAUGAAACCGGAGACUGGCGGGGUUUCCUUGCGGAGGAAGAGAGCCGGAGAGAAUAAAGGACCGAGGGAGUCUAAGCUGCAGAGCGAGGAGCGUUCCCGCAGCCGCCGCGCACGCACACGCCUUAUCCGAGCCUCACAACACUUACGGGGGCACUUUGCACAGUGCCGCAGAAGCUGAAUCUGUGCCGGACCCGGGAGCCCCUCCAACGGCCCCGAAGCCAAAGGGCCCCGGGACGAUAGGGGAGAGAACCCAACACAAAUGGCCCUGCUCCUGUCUGUAGGGAAGGCCUGGCCCGGAGGUUUGUGCUACCGGCAGGCAGCCGGCCAACCUGGUCCCAGACUCGGAAGGCCUGGGCGGCUUGCAGAUGUCAGGCCCCUGAGGCAGCCGGCCGUGGCCCUCUCCAAGCGGAGUCCAGCUGGAGCAGGUUUUUAAUGAUUUGGUCCAUCGUGAGUUUCAGAGAAAUGGAAUUAUAACAGAGGAAAGCGGCAGGCGGGCACGCAGGGGUGGGCCAGGCGCUGGGCCAAGGUACCCGACUUGGAAUCAAAAGCCCGGGUUAGAGUUCCAGCUCUUCUUUCACCGGCUCUGAAACCCUCCUAAGUCGGGCUUACUUUGGGCCUCGCUUUCAUCAUCCCUGAAAUGAAUAGCCAUUUCAUUUUGUAGAUGACCACUAGCGUCCGUGCCCAUUUCAUGUCCCAUGUUCAAUAACAGGAUCAAAAAAUCAGGAGAAACCCCUCUCUCUCUUGCGGGGCCGCAGGGCCUUCUGAGUGGUCUUUCCCUUUCCCUGAGGACUCCCCUCAGAGGCAUACCAAAUGGACCCGGAGGCUCUUUGCUCUUCUUUUUGGCUUUUGUAUCAAAAAUCACAUUCCCUAGGGAAUCCUAGCUCGGGGAAGGACUUGUGCUUGUCUGGUGGCGGCAGCCGACUCGAGGCUUCCCGGGCUCUGCAGGGUCUAGAGUCUAGGAUACGCCAGCUCCUCCCCCAUCCUGUCUGCACCCGGUCUUGGGUCUUCCUCCUCCUUUUCCCUUGGUGCCUAUUAUCCUGGGCCCGGGAGCCUCGGCUGCGUCCCCUUCCCCCGUCCCUGCGGCCCGGCUGUUCCCGAGGGAGCGCGCCCCUGUGAGGUGCCACAUCAGAUGACCCAGAUUCUGCAGUCGCCUAAUAGCCUCCAGCUCUCUGACAGUUUCUCAAUUGUAAAUUCAAAAAAGCCCUAAAAAAAACAACAAAGUAAAACAAAACAGGCAUAUGUAGACUAGCUGCUAAGAAACCCAAGGCACAGGCUUCGUCUUUAUCUCCAAGAAAAGAACAAAUCUCCCCUUUUGUCAGUGCCCGGCUGUUUUCUUUCAGGGCCUUUUGGAACUGCCUUCUUCUCAAGUGCUUUUCUCUAUUUCUCUUAUAAAUUUCCUUUGCCUGCCUCUUUUGGCAAAUAAAAUGUCAGAUUUUGGAAAAAAAAAAAAAGUAUUAGUCACUGAGACUGUAAGACCAUUCUGGAGGGAAACAAAGCAAAGGAAGCCAAGGAGGCUACUCAGAUGCCUGCUCAUGAGUAACACUGGGGUGAUUCCAAAGAGCAGAGCAUUCAGAAGGAAGUUCCCUUCCAGAAUUCCAGCAUCCAGAGAUCCAUCCUAAAAGGGCAUCUGACAUCCAGAAUCAGAAAGGGAUCUGGGCUCCCAAAGCGGCAGAUGCCUACCAGGACUUCUGGGACAUUUUCACCCAUCUCAAACUACCUGAUGCUCCAUCCCCACCCCAGCUUCAAGUCAGGAAGAAAUUGAGUCUUUAAGUCCUCUUUCAGGAUUUUUCUUUUAGAAAUACUCUUUGCCUAAAGAUUCCAAAGAAUAAAGAAAAUCAGCCUUCUUCCUUUACUUCUAAAGGCAGAAAAUUCUAAGGAAUAUUGCAUAUGCUAUGAUGAUUUGUUGGUUGUGUGAAAAUCAUCUCAACCCCUUUUUCUUUUCCUUUUUUAUUCAUUCUUAAUAGUAGCGUUCCCAAUAGCUAAGUGAAAAAAGGGGGCGAGAAAGAAAGGGACAGAGACAGAGAGAUGCUUCAAUUUUGAAUUUCUUACUAGCAAAGUUUUUGUUCAAUAUUAUCUGUUGGGGAAAAGAGAGAGGAUGGAUCUGCGGAUUGUCUUCAAAAGUUUUCUCCUCCCUCCUCCACAUCCCACCCCAAACUCUACUAGAGCAAUGCAAGAGAAUGAAGAGGUGUGUCAAAGAUAAUUUGUCCCUGGGCAAUUUCAGAGGAAAACAAAAAAAACACAAAUAAAAUGGGUAUAAACACGUAGAUGCACGGUAGAAAAGAAAAAGGAUUGUACAUGAAAUUGCAGAUUUCUGUUAUACACAUCCUUUUUUUAAAAGUAUAUAAUAGUUUAACCAAUAGCUUUCAAAGUUGUCCCGUUUAUCUUCGAGUCUUUCUGGAUUUGCUUCUGUUCUCUGCAUUUUUAUAAAAAUGCCUAAAUUCCCCUCCCUGCUCUCCCCCCCCCCCCAGCUUCUACACACACACACACACACACACACUAGAAAAAAGAGAAGAAAAUGCAGUCAUUAAUUCAUUAUUUUCAGAAAUUGCCUAAGCAGGGGGAAAAAAAAAAAAAAACACUUUCAAAUUUAACUUUAAAAAUCCUGUCAGGCCUCUCUGUGAGAAUAACGUGGGUGGGGUUUCAGAAAGAAAACGCCCAUCUUUUCAUCCUGGUAUUCUCAUUCCUGGGUUACUGCAACAAGCCCUGGAUGCCUUCCCCCUCCCUGCCUCAGAAGCUCUUCUCCUCUGCAUCAUCCUUCAUUCACUUGCCAAAGUGACCUUCCUAAUGCACAGGUCUAUGUCCCUCAUCAAUAAAGCACUUAGUGUGUACCAACCAUUGUGCUAAGCAGGGGAGAGAGGGAAAGGCACAAGAAUUCCUGCUUUCUGGAAGUAGGGGCAAGGGAUAAUUAAAACAAAUGCUUGUUCUACCAGGAUGAUUUCUCAGGAAACCUCAUAGCCCCAGGGAUUGGGCAGAAUUCAGGGAUCCUUCCAUUCACUGAUGAACAGUUCCAAUUACCUUGUGGAUGCCAUGGUAUCUCAGGCAUCUGCUCUAAGAUCCCGCCCCUCCUGUGUCAUUUAGCUGUAGGUCUUUAACCUGGAUGCUGAUGGCUUGGGACAGAUCGUGCUGCGGUCCAGAAUUUGCAGACCCUCAUACAUGUUCCAUUUUAUUGUGAUUCUAGCAUAAGUGCGGGACACAAGAAUCUUAAGAGACCCAAGAGAUCUUAGAAGUCCUCUUCCCCCUCCCAUUUUCUUUAGUCAUAAUUUCUUGCCAAAUAGCAAUUCUAUUCUAUUACAUUCUUGUGCAACAAUGUAUUCAACCAUUUGUCCAGUCAAUGAGCACCCCCCCUUCUAAUUCACCACAAAAAGUGCUGCUGUAAAUAUUAUUUGCAUAACCUCUUGUUCUAUUCACCCCCUGGGAUGGAUGCCCAGUAACAUCGUCACUAGGUCAAAGUUUAUUCUCCUUCCCUCCUCCUCCCCCCCAGCAGACGGCCACCUCUGCUCAAACGCUUCCUGCAACUGGGAUCUCAACCCAACCCAGCCAUUCUGCUGCUGGACAGCUCUAGCGAUCAGAAAAUUGUUUUUUAUAUUGAACCACAAACAACCUCCCUAAGUCCUGCUUUUCAGUCUCAGUUCUGCCAUCAUCUAGAGACUCAAAAAUCUACCACCAGCCAGGUUCAAAGGGGAACUGAGUCAUCAAGUCCUCCCUUAGGUAGCCUUUUCUCUGAGAGGCUCAAUAUCCCCAAUUCUUUGCAUUCUUAUUUAUAUUUGGAGCUAUGUUUUGUGUCUCCUCUCAUGAUUCUUCAGUGCUCAUUUCCAUGGUUUGUCAUUCUGUCUAUUAAAGUGUAGCCCCAGAGAACGGGAAUGGAAUGCCUCCACUCAUUUUAGACUCCACUAAUAUACUGGUUAGUUUCGCAAACUGCUUCUCCUCCCUCGUUUCCUUUUUUAUUCUUUGUUGCAAUAGAUGACCUCUCUGGAGAAAGGAAGGGACACUGCCCAGUGCUGAGCCCAGGGCUAUUGACUGGAGUCAACCAGCAUGCAACACAGCCAGGCAUUUCCCAGAUUCUCUUUUUUAGCCACCACAUCAUAAUUUUGGCAUUUUUUGUUGGCAGGCAACAGAUCCAAAUCUUUUUCACAGACACCUUUCCCAAGUCAGAUGCCCUCCACAUUGUCUUUGUGUAGCUGAUUUAUAUAAGGCUUUUGCUUCUCCCUGACAAAUUUUAUCCACUGUCUCUUUUAACAAAAUGGAGGAUCCUGGAGGAUCAAGAUGGCAAGGUUUUUUUGGUUUUGUUCUGUUUUUUGUCUUUGAAUUUCUAUCACUUCCCCUAGGGCCUGGUACAUUGUAGACACAAUAAAUGAUUUUGAUUUUGAUCUAGCAUUCUACCCUAACUAUUAUCAUAAUGACUAUUUCUCCCAACUUUGUAUCAUCUGCAGAUCUGGUUAGUCUGCCUUCUAGUGUCUAGUAGGUCAUUUAGCAAAAAUGUUUUUAUUGUGUUACCACAGAGCCCUUAGACCAUUUCAUUAGAAACUUGCUUCAAUAGUAACUGAUAACUAAGUCAUACAAAUCCUUUGCAAAUUUAUAGUAAUGACAUACAGAAGUAUGCCCUUCCAGAAUACUAUAUAGCAAAUCCUCCUUUCUGGAUGAAAAAGCCAAAAAAACUGUCAUGAAAAGUAUGGUAUUUCAAUUUCAUUAUAUCAGAUGUGUAUACUAGUAGUAUAAAACCAAAUAGAAAUGGGAGAAACUAGACCUUCUGGAUGAAUAGAGGCUUAGAAAACCACGUAGAAACAGUCUAUUGUAUUUUUAUUUUGUUAAAUCAUUUUAAUAACAUUUUCAUAGUAAUUUGGACUUCAGUUAAAAGUGUUGACACCUCUGGUUGAUAUAUCUCUGGUUUUACACUAGUUACCUUAUCAUCAGAGAAGGAAAUAAAGUUCACUUGGUAUAAUUUGUUUGUAAAUUCACAUUUGCUCUUAGUGAUCACUAAAUCCUUAUCUAAAUGUUAUUGUUCAGUCGUGUCUGAUCCUUUGUGACACUCACUGGAUGUUUUCUUGAAGUGUUUUGUCAUUUCCUUCUCCAGCUCAUUUUACAGAUGAAAAAACUGCGACAAACAGGGUUAAGUAAUUUGCCCAGGAUCAGAGUUAAUAAGUGUCUGAGGUUACAUUUGAACUCAGGUCCUCCUGACUCCAGGCCUGGUGCUCUAUCCAUAGCAUCUUAUAACUGCUCCUUACCCAAAUCCUCAUCUCAUGGGAGUCUAAAUGUUUUGUUUCUUAAUGAUGCCUUCUAGAAUGUGACCAGGGAUCAACUAAAACUUAAGAGUCUCUUGAAUAUGUUCUUUCUAAAAAUCAGUAUGACAUCUGCUUGUCUCUGGUCCUCUGCCACUUCCCCAUGACUUUUUAGAGAUCAUAUGCAGUAAUGCUGUAGUCACAUUGAAAAAACAAAUCUUUCAAUAGGCAGGGAUGCAAUUCGUUGAGACCUGGAAACUGACAUUUUCCUCACUGAACUUGAGCUUUGUCUCCUCAACCUGACUUAUUCUUCUUUUUGUAAUUGAAACCCCAUUCCCCUUGCUGGAGAAGGUGGAGAGAAAGUAGAAAUGAAGCAGCCCCAUUGUCUCCCUGUUAUCUCUCUACCUAAAGGCCCAAAGCAGCGGUCUAUCUCUUCUUUUUCUUGUUCCAAACACAACUUUAAGCCACAACAACCCCACCCACAUGCACACACAAAAUAACAGAAAAAGCACUUUGUAGUCUAAGUUUUUGUUUUUUCACCUGCUUCAACUCAUCUGGAGCUUUAGCCUCCUUGCCAAUGGCCUUACAAUCAUGGCAAAAUGCAGGGGGCAGAUUGUGACACUGUUUUUGAACAUAUGGCCAAUUUGCGAAUUUUUUUUUGCCUGAAUAUGAAUAUUUAUAUUAAAUGAUUUGUAUUAAAGGGGAAGGAGUUGGGAGAGUAAGAAGAUAGAUUUUUGUUCACUUAAAAAAUUUCAUGCUAAACUCAAGGGGUGCCCAUUCCCAUUGGAGAAUGACUAAACAAAUCAUGAUAUAUAGAUGGAAUGGAAUAUUAUUAAGUCAUAAGAAUUGAUGAUAUGCAUGAUUUCAGAGAAACCAGGCAAGACCUGUAUGAACUGAUGCAGUGAAAUUAACAGAACUGGGAGAACAACUUAUACAAUAACAGCAUUAUAAAGGGUAUUCCAAAAGUCUUGGUGCAUUUUAUUCACCUAUUAAAUCUGUACAUGAUAACAACUUUGAAAUGCCUGAGAACUUCUUUGAUCAAUGCAAUGACCAACUACAAUUCCAAGAGACUGAUGAAGAAUGUAUUUACCCACAGAGAGAGACAAUGAAUUCAAGAUACUGAAUAAAAACAUGCAUUUUCCCAUUUUCUAUCAUGCCUAGUAUCAGGAUCAAACAAUGCUUUGCGUGAUUAUAAAUAUUUGUUACAAAGGCUUUGAUUUUCCUUUUUUUUAAAUGGUUACAGGGGCGGGAAGAAAGAGUGACACAGAUGAAGUAACAAAAUAAGAGAAGAAAGCAAAGGGAGUUGUAACUUUUUUAAAAUUUCUUUUCCUAAUUUCUCUCGAGAAGAAAGCAAAGGGAGUUGUAACUUUUUUAAAAUUUCUUUUCCUAACUUCUCUCUUGACCCCCAAUGCAAAAGGGCCUGGCCAUAGUAGGAGCUUAAAAAAUGUCUGUUGACUUGACUGAAGAAUCCCCCUUUUUUUUUUUUUUUUUUUUUUAAUAAUGGAGAAAAAAAGGCAGAAGGAAAACCAGACAAGCAGGACUGCUUUGAAAGCAACAGAUUGACCUUAUUAUAUACUUAAAAGAAGAAGUAAAUGGUACAGAAUUCAGAUCCAGUUUCUUGUGUAAUCUUUUUUUUCUGUUUUACUAUGCAUGUGGGAAUGCCCAUUUUAUUGGGAGUCUGUCAAGUUCAGAAUAAAAAUAAAAACUAAUUUGAAAAGAGA